rnacentral:rRNA from 1 species
GUCCACGCCGUAAACGAUGGAUACUAGCUGUUCGGUGCAAACUGAGUGGCUAAGCGAAAGUGAUAAGUAUCCCACCUGGGGAGUACGUUCGCAAGAAUGAAAACUCAAAAGGAAUUGACGGGGGCCCGCACAAGCGGUGGAGCAUGUGGUUUAAUUAGAUGAUACGCGAGGAACCUUACCAAGGCUUAAAAUGUAGAUUGACAGGACUGGAAACAGUUUUUCUUCGGACAAUUUACAAGGUGCUGCAUGGUUGUCGU